ensembl:lncRNA
AGAAGGUGAUGGCACCCCACUCCAGUACUCUUGCCUGGAAAAUCCCAUGGACAGAGGAGCCUGGUACGCUGCAGUCCAUGGGGUCUCGAAGAGUUGGACAUGACUGAGCAACUUCACUUUCCCUUUUCAUUUUCAUGCAUUGGAGAAGGAAAUGGCAACCCACUCCAGUGUUCUUGCCUGGAGAAUCCCAGGGACUUUGGAGCCUGAUGGGCUGCCGUCUAUGGGCUCGCCCAGAGUCGGACACGACUGAAACGAUUUAGCAGCAGCAGCAGCAGCAUGCCCUAGUCAUCUCCAUUAAAGGAGAUUUUUGAGGAGAGAGCUGGAGAUAGAAGGGGCCAGAAAGUUAUAAAUUGAUAGUAGAAAAUGAAACAUAUAUUGUGAGCCUUUGUUCUGGAAACCCUGAUACCAAGAAGAAAAAAAAAAAGUGUAAUUGGUGGUUCUUGUGUUCAAGUUGUUAGGAAAACAGGCCCCAGACUGGGUGAAAGAUUAGAAGAAAAACACUGGGGCCCAAAGUGACCCGGGGAGAACUUUGUUUGAGAAAAAGGACUUGUGGCAUUUGUAGACAAAAAAGGGAAGGAAUUGAUACUACAGAUACCUGCAGGUUGAAAUUUCUGGAGAAGGAAGAGCUAAGAGCUUGAGAGGACGAGGAGUGGGUACCAAACCAGAAUCCAAACAACAGUAGCCCGUUAUGCCUUUUCUGAUGCUGGCAUCUGAGAUGUAAAUUGUGGCACAGUGGUGAAGAAUCCACUUGUUAAUGCAGGAGAUACCCUGGGUCAGGAAGAUCCCUGAAGAAGGAAGUGGCAACUCACUCCAGUAUUCUUGCUUGAAAGAUUCCAUGGACAGAAGAGCCUGGCAGGGUCACAGAGCCAUGGACUGGGGUCACAAGAGAGUCAAGACUCGACUGAACAGCAGCAGCAUGGCAGAACCUAACACGAGGAUAAUUAUCCUCCAAUUAAAAAGUAUACUAUUUUGGAGGAAAAAUUAUGUGGUCCCCCAGUUGAGACCACCUGAUGUGAAGAGCCGACUCAGAAAAGACCCUGAUGCUGGGAAAGAUUGAAGGCAGGAGGAGAAGGGGACGACAGAGGACAAGAUGGGUGGAUGGCGUCUCUGACUCAAUGCACAUGAGUUUGAGCAAGCUCUGGGA